UACAGAGGGUGCGAGCGUUGUCCGGAAUUACUGGGCGUAAAGGGCGCGUAGGCGGCUUGGUAAGUCGGGGGUGAAAGUCAGCGGCUCAACCGCUGGACUGCCUUCGAGACUGCCUGGCUUGAGCAUGGUAGAGGCUGGCGGAAUUCCCGGUGUAGCGGUGGAAUGCGUAGAGAUCGGGAAGAACAUCGGUGGCGAAGGCGGCCGGCUGGGCCAUUGCUGACGCUGAUGCGCGACAGCGUGGGGAGCAAACAGG
rnacentral:rRNA from 1 species